rnacentral:lncRNA from 1 species
CGCCACCGAAGCGGCGCUCACGAAAAGAGCCAUGGGUUCGAUCGGGAGGUCGCAAUCGAGCAGGACCCUGAUACUGCGAGAGGUGCCUGGAUUGAUCCACGCCGCUGCGGUGUUGAUCUUGUGGAUGUCGUGCGGGUCGACGAUCGGUUCAAUGUGUUGGACAAGGUCCGACAGUGUGUCAUAGCCCUGGAUGAUGGCCUCGCACAGAUGGUCGACCGUGGGCGGACAAUAGCCGGCGCAUCCGAAAUCACGCAUCCACAGCGCCGCAUCUGCGCGGCUGGCGCUCCAGGCAGCACGGCCGAUGGUCUCGUCGCAUCGGCAUGGCCUGGUGCUGGUCAUGGACUGGGCAAACAUGUCGUGCGCAAACGCAAACACGUCGGCGUUGCCCGUGGCAGCUGCACAUUUGAGAUCCCAUCCACAGUCCUUGCCCUUUACGCCGCCAAAGGUGCGGGUGAGGAUGUAGCGCAGGACGUCAAUGUGUCGAGACGUAGAGGCAAUGCACGCCGCGCGGUACACAUCGAUGCGCCUGAUAGAACAUGUCACAGCGCGGGGCUAGGGUCGCCGUGAGGCGGUGUGGCAAAGCAAACUGAGGGAACAAGCGCACGUCGGAAAAGAAAGCGUCAAAGAAAAAAAAGGCGUGAUGCGCACCGUAAUGUAUUGAUGGACGAUGCAUAGGACCUCGACGCGGCCCCCUCUUGCGGCGACCUCAAGCAAGGACUCGGGGUUGAUCUCGCUGGAUGCGUGCGACACGUAGAGAGGAAGCGCUUGGGCAAUCAUGUAGCACGGUGCGCGCGACAUGAUGAGCGCGCGUGCAUGCUUGGGAUGGAGCGCCCACGCAGCGGCUCUUUCGACGACAUCCACGCAACCAAAGACCCGCGACGCCAUACGCGCGGCCAUGAGGUACUUUGGACGCCGGAGGAAACUGAGGAUGUGGACGACGAUCUCGCUCGGGAGAUCGGCCAACGUUAUCGCCGGGCACACGGCGGCCGUCAUGUCGUGCGGUGCCGCUUGCUCAGAUGAUUGGUGUUGGGGCGUGUCCAUCGACGCACAGGCGAGGAAAAAAAGGCCGAGGGUUCGUGAAACUUUUUUCUUUGUUGAGCACAGGCACCGUCCGUUUUUUUCCUCUUGUCUCGAUGAAUGAAAUAGGCUGUCACGCGGCGCGGCCAAAACCCAAUAAUCUAUCGCAUGGCGCAAAAAGGCGCCUCCUCAAAAUCGAUUCGCUGACCCUCUUUGGUGUCGGUGGGGUCUUUCGUCGCAGUGGUUGGCCCGUUGUCGGGGCGGCCGAGGGGCGAAUCAUUGCCCAGAGAAAACGGGGCAACGGUCUCCCAAACACACCCAAUAAAUGCGCCUA